rnacentral:rRNA from 1 species
AUUGAACGCUGGCGGCAUGCCUAACACAUGCAAGUCGAACGGCAGCACAGUAUGUAGCAAUACAUAUGGGUGGCGAGUGGCGGACGGGUGCGUAAUAUGUAGGGAUCUGCCCUGAAGCGGGGGACAACCCGGGGAAACCCGGGCUAAUACCGCAUAAUACUCUACGGAGGAAAUCUGGCACGCAAGUGCUGGGGCUUUAGGAUGAACCUACAUCCGAUUAGCUAGUUGGUGAGGUAAUAGCUCACCAAGGAAAUGAUCGGUAGCUGGUCUGAGAGGAUGACCAGCCACACUGGGACUGAGACACGGCCCAGACUCCUACGGGAGGCAGCAGUGGGGAAUAUUGGACAAUGGGGGAAACCCUGAUCCAGCAAUGCCGCGUGUGUGAAGAAGGCCUUCGGGUUGUAAAGCCCUUUAGGCGGGGAAGAAGGUUAUAGGGUGAUAAGCCUUAUAGCUUGACGGUACCCGCAGAAUAAGCACCGGCUAACUCUGUGCCAGCCGCCGCGGUAA